rnacentral:lncRNA from 1 species
CCUCAAAUGCUCCGCUCUGGCCACCCAGUAUAUGCACUGUGUCAAUCAUGCCAAACAGAGCAUGCUUGAGAAGGGAGGAUAAAAACUUUCAGAAUGAGCAAAACACCAUCAACGUUAAUUCCAGAGAUGGAACAUUUUUUUUCCUAGUGAGAAAACAACCCAUUUGAAGAGAAGACCACUAAUGAGAAGACCACUAAAGAGAGACAUCAAGAAUGGAUUCAGCAGAAUCAUUUCACGUUUUGAACAGCAGCAGUUUGAAGGGCCAAAGCCUUGAUCAGGGAUCAGUCAUUAAAGGACACUCUUGAGUAUUAGUAAACCCUCUUAUGAUGAUUAAAAGAGAAGGGCAGCCCUCUCCACCUUUUGGUACUUUCUAUUCAACUUGCACUGACCAUAAAAUGUUUCUCUUCUGAACAAGCCCCAUCAUUUGGUGAACCUCCACCCUAACAAAGUAGGAUGGGGUUGGGGGCUAAAUUAAUUGGAGUGGGGCGAGGAGAGAGCCAGAAAACAUAGAUCCGAGGGCAGCAGUGCUGGGUGGAGAGAGCCAGAAAACAGAUCUGGAGGCAGCAGUGCUGGAUGGAAUUGUCUAGGCUGUGGCAUGUUGGUUUUGUCUUUCUUUUCUCCUUUGAUUAUGUAAGAGCUAUUUCAUUAUAACUUAUUAUGGUGAUUAUACAGGCAAGAAGACAAAAAGGAGAGAAAAUGUACCUCUUCUACUGGAAUAAUGUUUAUGAUUACAAGUGAGAUAAGGUAUUUUUAUCAAUAUGAAGGCAACCUUGGCUGAUAAAACCUCUAUAGUGAAUACUCACAUCUUUACUUCACUCACUAUCAAUAAUAAAUAUAUUUUCUGACAAAGACUGGC